AGAGACUGUCUCCAACUGCCCUCCUGGCGCUGUUGGGAGCUUGGUCUCCAGACCGGGGCGCUGCCGACUCCCGGGUACGGGAACCUCCGGCGGAGUCUCAGUGCCUCUGACUGCUGAAUCGUCCUCCUGUGGCGCGCCAAGAGCCGCCUUGCCCAAGGGAGAGCUCCCAGUCCAAAGGCAAAAUCACACGGAAUUGCCGGCUUCUAUCUGAGACAGACAGCCCUCCUCUACUGUGAAUGGGAUUCGGGAUUCGAACGGAAGCUGCCAGAGCCCCUACACCUCGCGCCGUGAGCACAGCGCCACCCACGACCUGCGGCGGUGUGGUUGGGUGUACCCAGAUGCCAUUGGUCUCUCUGCAACAUUUGGGGCACCGAAGCCAACUUGACCUGCCUGAUGCAAACAUCUGGAUUCCAGGGGAACUACCAGGGCCAGUGGCUGAAGGCACAAGCAUCGAAUCACCAGCUCUUCAGACUCCAGUGGAGCAGUUCACCACUACUCACUUCGGCCCCUGGAGGGCACCAGAGACUGUUUGCUGUACAGAGAACAGCGCCUAGAUGGAAACCAGACAGGUUCUGGGGCAGCAUCAGCUGUGUGACCAAUGGCCAGAGUCAGCGUUUGGCCAGCUCUGGAAGCCCAGGCACAGGCAUAUCCCUGCAGAGUUCUGCAAGGAUCAAAAGUAUUUUGUUGGGACCCCCUGUCAUUUUUCUGGCCCAAGGAUACAAAGCCACAGGAUGGAGGUCUGAGCUCAGACAGAUCUUGGCAAGCCCAGCUCAUCCCCUUGUAAACCUCUGUGGCCAGGCCCUUUGGGUUAAUUUGGG
rnacentral:lncRNA from 1 species